rnacentral:rRNA from 1 species
UACGGGGGGAGCAAACGUUGUUCGGAAUCACUGGGCGUAAAGGGCGUGUAGGCGGCUGAAUAAGUGGGAUGUUAAAUCCCCCGGCUCAACCGGGGACCUGCAUCUCAUACUGUUCAGCUCGAGCACAUCAGAGGAGACUGGAAUUCCCGGUGUAGCGGUGAAAUGCGCAGAUAUCAGGAAGAACACCCGUGGCGAAGGCGGUUCUCUGGGACGGUACUGACGCUGAGACGCGAAAGCGUGGGGAGCGAACAGG